CAGUAGCCACGGUAAUUCAGAGGGUGCGAGCGUUAAUCGGAUUUACUGGGCGUAAAGCGUGCGUAGGCGGCUUCUUAAGUCGGAUGUGAAAUCCCUGAGCUUAACUUAGGAAUUGCAUUCGAUACUGGGAAGCUAGAGUAUGGGAGAGGAUGGUAGAACUCCAGGUGUAGCGGUGAAAUGCGUAGAGAUCUGGAGGAAUACCGAUGGCGAAGGCAGCCAUCUGGCCUAAUACUGACGCUGAGGUACGAAAGCAUGGGGAGCAAACAGGAUUAGAUACCCGGGUAGUCCCUGUCUCUUAUAU
rnacentral:rRNA from 1 species